rnacentral:rRNA from 1 species
UACGGGGGGGGCAAGCGUUGUUCGGAAUUACUGGGCGUAAAGGGCUCGUAGGUGGCCAACUAAGUCAGACGUGAAAUCCCUCAGCUUAACUGGGGAACUGCGUCUGAUACUGGAUGGCUUGAGUUUGGGAGAGGGAUGCGGAAUUCCAGGUGUAGCGGUGAAAUUCGUAGAUAUUCGGAAGAACACCAGUGGCGAAGGCGACACACUGGCCCAAUACUGACGCUGAGGCGCGAAAGCGUGGGGAGCAAACAGG